GACGUAGGGGGCCAGCGUUGUUCGGAAUUACUGGGUGUAAAGGGUUCGUAGGCGGUGUAGCAAGUCGGGAGUGAAAUCUCUGGGCUUAACCCAGAGCUGACUUCCGAACUGCUGUGCUUGAGUGUGGGAGAGGCGCGUGGAAUUGUAGGUGUAGCGGUGAAAUGCGUAGAUAUCUGCAGGAACACCCGUGGCGAAAGCGGCGCGCUGGACCACUACUGACGCUGAGGAACGAAAGCUAGGGGAGCAAACAGG
rnacentral:rRNA from 1 species